rnacentral:rRNA from 1 species
GAGCGGCGAACGGGUGAGUAACACGUGAGUAACCUGCCCCUGACUCUGGGAUAAGCCUGGGAAACUGGGUCUAAUACCGGAUAUGACCAUUUCGGGCAUCCGAUGGUGGUGGAAAGUUUUUUCGGUUGGGGAUGGACUCGCGGCCUAUCAGCUUGUUGGUGGGGUAGUGGCCUACCAAGGCGACGACGGGUAGCCGGCCUGAGAGGGCGACCGGCCACACUGGGACUGAGACACGGCCCAGACUCCUACGGGAGGCAGCAGUGGGGAAUAUUGCGCAAUGGGCGGAAGCCUGACGCAGCGACGCCGCGUGGGGGAUGACGGCCUUCGGGUUGUAAACCUCUUUCAGCAGGGACGAAGUUGACGUGUACCUGUAGAAGAAGCGCCGGCUAACUACGUGCCAGCAGCCGCGGUAAUACGUAGGGCGCAAGCGUUGUCCGGAAUUAUUGGGCGUAAAGAGCUCGUAGGUGGCUUGUCGCGUCUGCCGUGAAAGCUUAGGGCUUAACCCUAGGUCUGCGGUGGAUACGGGCAGGCUAGAGGCUGGUAGGGGCAAGCGGAUUCCU